CCCUUAGAGUUUGAUCCUGGCUCAGGAUGAACGCUGGCGGCGUGCUUAACACAUGCAAGUCGAGCGAAGCACUUAGGAAAGAUUCUUCGGAUGAUUUCCUUUGUGACUGAGCGGCGGACGGGUGAGUAACGCGUGGGUAACCUGCCUCAUACAGGGGGAUAACAGUUAGAAAUGACUGCUAAUACCGCAUAAGACCACGGUACCGCAUGGUACAGUGGUAAAAACUCCGGUGGUAUGAGAUGGACCCGCGUCUGAUUAGGUAGUUGGUGGGGUAACGGCCUACCAAGCCGACGAUCAGUAGCCGACCUGAGAGGGUGACCGGCCACAUUGGGACUGAGAUACGGCCCAGACUCCUACGGGAGGCAGCAGUGGGGAAUAUUGCACAAUGGAGGAAACUCUGAUGCAGCGACGCCGCGUGAAGGAUGAAGUAUUUCGGUAUGUAAACUUCUAUCAG
rnacentral:rRNA from 1 species